CAGAAACUGCAUGAACCUCCCUCCCUGAGGGACAGGACAUGGACAAGCGUGUGACACUGAUACAGUGCACGAGGCACUCGCAUUUCAAGCUCAUCAGCCUGGGAUAAGGACCUAAGCAGAACAGUAGAGGGGCAUUAUUUUCUUUUGGGUAUCCAAGGUCCCAUAUGUGGGAUCAGAAAUGGGAAGAAAUGUUCCCCCAUAGCCAUUCUGCAAGGGACGAGACUGCUGCAGCAAGGGCUGGUGCUUGAUUUCUGCUCCUAUGGGC
ensembl:lncRNA